rnacentral:tRNA from 2 species
GGAACAAUACUCAAGAGGCUGAAGAGGCACGCUUGGAAAGCGUGUAGGGUGUAAUAGCCGCGAGGGUUCAAAUCCCUCUUGUUCCGCCA